ACUCAUUUCAAUCUGAUGUCUUCCCACCAGCACAGGUUAAGGAGCUGCAGCCAUCAAGGAGAGAGAAAUCAAGAGCUACUGGCACUUCAAGAACACAAAAGAGAGAUGCAUGUUUUAUCAGCCAGUAAUUUGGAGAAAAGAUUUAAUGCAAAUGCUGUGUCCUGACAGAAGGGUGAAGUGACUCUCACCAUGCUGAUGCUGUCCUGAAAUUUCAGCAGCGCCCGUGCAAAGUUCAUCUCAGUGUCUCACUUUCCCAGGCCUGGCAGAGAGCAGGGAAGAGUCAUCUGCAGCCUGAGUUGAGAUCAGCGGGAGCAGGGCUGUCAUCCUGCUCGUGCACAGGGCUGUUCUCACGCCCUGUUUCCUUUGUGGACAGAAAGAAGAGUUAUCUGGAGCCUGCACCUGCUUCCAGCUGAGGAGAGGAAACACUUCUGGAGGGAGCAGAGGAUGGUGGUGGUAUCUCAGGAAUCCAGGAAGGAUCAGGGCUCUGUUGGGCUCAGCACAGUAGAGACUGUUAU